rnacentral:lncRNA from 1 species
GCAGAUGCUGACAGCAGCAGUGAUGUAGAUUUGGAAAAUCACUAAAAAUAGUAGGAAUGGAAUUAAAUAGUGAAUAAAUUAUUUAAAUGAACCUUGAUGAAUCCACUUUCAUAUGGAAGAAACGAAACGGUCAUAUGAGUGGUAUGUUAAGAGAUAAUUAGGUUUUCGUGAAACAGGGCCAGAACAGUUUCUGGAUUCUCUGUUCCG